GUUCAAAACAACAGGUACUCUGCUAACUCGUAAGAGGAUGUAUAGAGACUGACGCCUGCCCGGUGUUGGUAGGUUAAGGAAGAGGGUUAGUCGCAAGACGAAGCUCGCAACCGAAGCCCCAAUAAACGGCGGCCGUAACUAUGACGGUCCUAAGGUAGCGAAGUUCCUUGUCGGGUAAGUUCCGACCUGCAUGAAUGGCGUAAUGACUGGAGCACUGUCUCAACCACCAACCCGGUGAAAUUGUAGUCGUGGUGAAGAUGCCACGUUCCCGCAGUUAGACGGAAAGACCCCAUGAACCUUUACUGUAGGCAGGUAUUGGGCUGAGGUACGUUUUGUGUAGGAUAGGUGGGAGGCUAUGAUCCGUUAGCGCCAGCUAACGGGGAGCCAACGUUGAAAUACCACCCUGAAUGUGCUUUAGUUCUAACGUCGUCCCGUGAAUCCGGGCGACGGACAGUUCCUGUUGGGCGGUUUGACUGGGGCGGUCUCCUCCAAAAGAGUAACGGAGGACGUGCAAAGGUACCCUCAGCCCGGUCGGCAAUCGGGCGUCGAGCGCAAUGGUAGAAGGGUGCGUCGACGCGGCCG
rnacentral:rRNA from 1 species